UACAGAGGUGGCAAGCGUUGUUCGGAAUUACUGGGCGUAAAGGGCGCGUAGGCGGCCAUCUAAGUCAGACGUGAAAUCCCCCGGCUUAACCUGGAACUGCGUCUGAUACUGGACGGCUUGAGUAUGGGAGAGGGAUGUAGAAUUCCAGGUGUAGCGGUGAAAUGCGUAGAUAUCUGGAGGAAUACCGGUGGCGAAGGCGGCAUCCUGGACCAUUACUGACGCUGAGGCGCGAAAGCUAGGGGAGCAAACGGG
rnacentral:rRNA from 1 species